CCUACGGGUGGCAGCAGUCGAGAAUCAUUCACAAUGGGGGAAACCCUGAUGGUGCGACGCCGCGUGGGGGAAUGAAGGUCUUCGGAUUGUAAACCCCUGUCAUGUGGGAGCAAAUAACAAAGAUAGUACCACACGAGGAAGAGACGGCUAACUCUGUGCCAGCAGCCGCGGUAAUACAGAGGUCUCAAGCGUUGUUCGGAAUCACUGGGCGUAAAGCGUGCGUAGGCUGUUUCGUAAGUCGUGUGUGAAAGGCGCGGGCUCAACCCGCGGACGGCACAUGAUACUGCGAGACUAGAGUAAUGGAGGGGGAACCGGAAUUCUCGGUGUAGCAGUGAAAUGCGUAGAUAUCGAGAGGAACACUCGUGGCGAAGGCGGGUUCCUGGACAUUAACUGACGCUGAGGCACGAAGGCCAGGGGAGCGAAAGGGAUUAGAUACCCCUGUAGUC
rnacentral:rRNA from 1 species